GACGAACGCUGGCGGCAUGCCUAAUACAUGCAAGUCGAACGAACCAUCCUGAAGAUUGAAGCUUGCUUCAUGAUUCAGACCUUGGUGAGUGGCGGACGGGUGAGUAACACGUGGGUAACCUGCCCAAAAGUGGGGGAUAACAUCUGGAAACAGGUGCUAAUACCGCAUAACAACUACUUUCUCAUGAUCGUAGCUUGAAAGAUGGCUCUGCUAUCGCUUUUGGAUGGACCCGCGGCGUAUUAGCUAGUUGGUGAGGUAAUAGCUCACCAAGGCAAUGAUACGUAGCCGACCUGAGAGGGUAAUCGGCCACAUUGGGACUGAGACACGGCCCAAACUCCUACGGGAGGCAGCAGUAGGGAAUCUUCCACAAUGGGCGAAAGCCUGAUGGAGCAAUGCCGCGUGAGUGAAGAAGGUUUUCGGAUCGUAAAACUCUGUUGUUGAAGAAGAACAUGCGUGAGAGUAACUGUUCACGUACUGACGGUAUUCAACCAGAAAGCCACGGCUAACUACGUGCCAGCAGCCGCGGUAAUACGUAGGUGGCAAGCGUUGUCCGGAUUUAUUGGGCGUAAAGAGAAUGUAGGCGGUUUAUUAAGUUUGAAGUGAAAGCCCUCGGCUCAACCGAGGAAGUGCUUCGAAAACUGGUAAACUUGAGUGCAGAAGAGGAAAGUGGAACUCCAUGUGUAGCGGUGGAAUGCGUAGAUAUAUGGAAGAACACCAGUGGCGAAGGCGGCUUUCUGGUCUGUAACUGACGCUGAGAUUCGAAAGCAUGGGUAGCAAACAGGAUUAGAUACCCUGGUAGUCCAUGCCGUAAACGAUGAGUGCUAAGUGUUGGAGGGUUUCCGCCCUUCAGUGCUGCAGCUAACGCAUUAAGCACUCCGCCUGGGGAGUACGAUCGCAAGAUUGAAACUCAAAGGAAUUGACGGGGGCCCGCACAAGCGGUGGAACAUGUGGUUUAAUUCGAAGCAACGCGAAGAACCUUACCAGGUCUUGACAUACCAUGAAAAGCUAAGAGAUUAGUCUUUCCCUUCGGGGACAUGGAUACAGGUGGUGCAUGGUUGUCGUCAGCUCGUGUCGUGAGAUGUUGGGUUAAGUCCCGCAACGAGCGCAACCCUUAUUAUCAGUUGCCAGCAUUCAGUUGGGCACUCUGGUGAGACUGCCGGUGACAAACCGGAGGAAGGUGGGGACGACGUCAAAUCAUCAUGCCCCUUAUGACCUGGGCUACACACGUGCUACAAUGGUCGGUACAACGUGCUGCGAACUCGCGAGGGUAAGCAAAUCACUUAAAACCGAUCUCAGUUCGGAUUGUAGGCUGCAACUCGCCUACAUGAAGCUGGAAUCGCUAGUAAUCGCGGAUCAGCAUGCCGCGGUGAAUACGUUCCCGGGCCUUGUACACACCGCCCGUCACACCAUGAGAGUUUGUAACACCCAAAGUCGGUGGGGUAACCCUUCGGGGAACUAGCCGCCUAAGGUGGGACAAAUGAUUAGGGUG
rnacentral:rRNA from 1 species